CAGCCACGGGGGCGAGGUCCUGGGUGAUGGGUACAGACCUUGGCAUCUCUUCCGGUCGUCCUAAAACUGACAGGCUCAGGGUUGACAAGUGAGUCCUCAGCCCUCGUUGUGACUAAUUAUCGUGCUUCUCAAACAGGGAGCCCGGGAGAUGGCCACAGGUUCUCUUUGCGAUGUUGGCCGUCUUCCUCCACCAGCGCUAAGUGGUCUGUACAUCGGGAGAGAGAAGUGGCUCCUUUUUAAGCCUAAUGGAUUUACACAGACCAUUCUCUUCAUUCUCCUAAAACUCUUGGGAUGGACAAUAGCAGCACUUCCAGCUCUGCCCCGCACUGUCUUGGGGACAGACAAAGAUUUCUGUACAUAAAAAUAUUGACAUAUCUUUUUUCUCAAUAUCUUGGUUAGGUUUUGGUACCAGGUUUAUGACAUAAUCUUUUAAAUCUGUUUUAUUCAAAUGUAACUACGUGUAACUUAAAUGUAGAUAUAGACAGAAAGGAGAAAGGGCAGUCAUGUCUCAGUGUUAUUAGAAUGAAAAUAUGUUUUUGGUAUUGGGAAAACUGUUCUGGUCUGAUGGAAGGAAGAGAAGGAUAAAGCUGAACGAGGAGGAAAGGUGGGAAUGAGGAGCUCAGAGCUGACGAGGCACGGCCAGUGGUUUAGGGCUCCUCACUUCUCCAUUUAUGAUGCCUGACCUUGAACUUCACUGUCUUCUCAAAAUGUUUCUUAUUAGAUUUUGGUUUUCAAGUUACAAUCAAAGUCAUUAGGAAAUAGAUUAAUAAUUGCUUUUAAAAAUUAGGUCUAGAAAUCAGCUGAAAUAGGC
rnacentral:lncRNA from 1 species